UACGUAGGGGGGCUAGCGUUGUCCGGAAUCAUUGGGCGUAAAGAGCGUGUAGGCGGUCCGGUAAGUCCGCUGUGAAAGUCGGGGGCUCAACCCUCGAAUGCCGGUGGAUACUGUCGGGCUAGAGUGCGGAAGAGGCGAGUGGAAUUCCUGGUGUAGCGGUGAAAUGCGCAGAUAUCAGGAGGAACACCAAUGGCGAAGGCAGCUCGCUGGAACGGUACUGACGCUGAGGCGCGAAAAGCGUGGGGGAGCGAACAGG
rnacentral:rRNA from 1 species